rnacentral:lncRNA from 1 species
CCCAAGCCCCGCCUCUGGGCGGGGGCCCAAGCGAUUUCCGAGUGCUGAAACCUGGGAUGACAGAGCAGCCCAGGGAAAGCGCGUGUUCCAGUUUACUAGAUACCACAGAGGUCACAAAUUCGCAUCUUCCCCAAUCAUUCCUGCAGAUAACAUCACUGUUGUAGAACCUAAGAUUGGCCUUUUGAGAUGUCUUUUCAGGUUUUUGCAUUUCUGACAAGUGGAUGGCCCCACCCUGACUCAUCAACCUGGGGAUCCA